rnacentral:rRNA from 1 species
CAUGUCUAAUACAUGCAAGUCGAACGAAGUUAAAUGAGCUUGCUCAUGUAGCUUAGUGGCGAACGGGUGAGUAACACGUAGUUAACCUAGCCAAUGGAGAGGGACAACUUUUGGAAACGAAAGCUAAUACCUCAUAGGUGGAAACAUUAAAGGUCCGAGUGGAUCACCAUUGGAAGGGACUGCGUCCGAUUAGCUAGUUGGUGUGGUAAGAGCAUACCAAGGCGACGAUCGGUAGCCGGACUGAGAGGUUGAACGGCCACACUGGGACUGAGACACGGCCCAGACUCCUACGGGAGGCAGCAGUAGAGAAUCUUGCACAAUGGGCGAAAGCCUGAUGCAGCAAUGCCGCGUGAGUGAAGAAGUUUUUCGGAAUGUAAAACUCUGUUAUAUGGGAAGAAUGAUAUGAAGAGGAAAUGCUUUAUAUGUGACGGUACCAUAUGAGAAAGGGACGGCUAACUACGUGCCAGCAGCCGCGGUAAUACGUAGGUCCCGAGCGUUAUCCGGAAUUAUUGGGCGUAAAGGGCGCGCAGGUGGUUACUUAAGUCUGGUGUGAAAUUUUUAGGCUUAACCUAAAAAGGUCAUUGGAAACUGAGUAACUUGAGAGCAGGAGAGGUAAGUGGAAUUCCUAGUGUAGCGGUGAAAUGCGUAGAGAUUAGGAGGAACACCAGUGGCGAAGGCGGCUUACUGGACUGCAUCUGACACUGAGGCGCGAAAGCGUGGGUAGCAAACAGGAUUAGAUACCCUGGUAGUCCACGCCGUAAACGAUGAGUGCUAAGUGUUGCGAGUCAAAUCGCAGUGCUGAAGUUAACGCAAUAAGCACUCCGCCUGGGGAGUACGACCGCAAGGUUGAAACUCAAACGAAUUGACGGGGACCCGCACAAGCGGUGGAGCAUGUGGUUUAAUUCGAAGCAACGCGAAGAACCUUACCAGGGUUUGACAUACCAAUGAUAUUUCUAGAGAUAGAGAGUUCCUUCGGGACAUUGGAUACAGGUGGUGCAUGGUUGUCGUCAGCUCGUGUCGUGAGAUGUUGGGUUAAGUCCCGCAACGAGCGCAACCCUUAUCGUUAGUUGCCAUCGUUAAGUUGGGUACUUUAACGAGACUGCCAGUGAUAAACUGGAGGAAGGCGGGGAUGAGGUCAAAUCAUCAUGCCCCUUAUACCCUGGGCUACACACGUGCUACAAUGGUCGGUACAAAGAGAAGCGAAGCUGUGAAGUGAAGCAAACCUCAUAAAGCCGAUUUCAGUUCGGAUUGUAGUCUGCAACUCGACUACAUGAAGAUGGAAUCGCUAGUAAUCGUGGAUCAGCAUGCCACGGUGAAUACGUUCCCGGGUCUUGUACACACCGCCCGUCACACCACGAGAGUUUAUAACACCCGAAGUCAGUGGGCUAACCUCGCAAGAGGGGGCAGCUGCCUAAGGUGGGAUAGAUGAUUGGGGUG